UUAGGAUGUCUAUGGAUUAAUUCGAAAAUCAGGAUGCUGUCGACGAAUUGAUCCUAGUGGGGAUAUUAGAUUUUAAUAAUUUAGUUAUUUUUAAUUCGACAAAAUUUUGAUUUAAAAUAUGAUAUUUGACGUAUCAGGUUCUGAGAAGAAUUUUCGAGAUCCAUAGAAUUUCUAGUUUGGACUUUCUUUUGAGGUAAGU
rnacentral:lncRNA from 1 species